rnacentral:lncRNA from 1 species
UUAUAACCUUUUUUGAGAACAUUUAAAAAUGAAAGUUCUGCAGUUGCUAUGCAGCAAAGACUUGCUGUCAAGGGCAUGGACCAUCUUGGUGCUUGGCUGGGGGACAAGCCCGUCUACAAUGGUGUUCUCUUCGAAGAAAAUCAAGCUGCCAAGAUGCCAGCUUCCUCUGCACAGUGAACAGCAACACUCAGGAAGCAGUAAACAGUCCUGGCUGCCUGACAGUAACCUGAGGCUCCAUCCUGCAGAACAGAAAAUGAAAGGCAAGGACAAACUCAAAGGGAGUGCAAGGCAUACACCAGGGAACAGGACCGUGUUUGCUGGGUGGCAGCUGCAUACAACUUGGACCAGUAAUGGCUCAGGCUCCUGUCUGGUGGCCAAGAGGGAGGAGGAGACCUGGCAAGUGCUCUCUGUACACCGUCACUGGCUUGGGAUCACUGCUCCACUGGUGUCCCAGAAUUCAGACUUCUGGCAUCUGCACAAACACCUCAUCUCCUGCGCCCGCCACGAAGGCAGCUCUGUGAGGAAGGUUAUCGUGCUUUCUGUCCUUAUCAUAGGAGCCUCCCUGUCUAUGCUCUGCCCGAAGACACAACAUGUCCUCCCUAGAUGUUUGACUUGGGGAGGGACGAGGAAAAGAGAGAACACUGAUUUCCAGAAGCCAUGUUGCCUUCUAGUCACAAGAGAUUCAGCAUCAAUAUGA